rnacentral:rRNA from 1 species
UACGUAGGGUGCGAGCGUUAAUCGGAAUUACUGGGCGUAAAGCGUGCGCAGGCGGUCUGUUAAGACCGAUGUGAAAGCCCCGGGCUCAACCUGGGAAUGGCAGUGGAAACUAGGGGACUGGAAUCUGGCAGAGGGGGGUGGAAUGCCGCGUGUAGCAGUGAAAUGCGUAGAGAUGCGGCGGAACACCGAUGGCGAAGGCAGCCCCCUGGGCUGAGAUUGACGCUCAGGCACGAAAGCGUGGGGAGCAAACAGG